rnacentral:rRNA from 1 species
AAUUAUAAGCUGCUUGCUCAGCUUGGAGAAACUGCAAGACAUGUUUUUCAUCUGAGGAUAUUAAAGGAAACAGCCGGAGAAUAAACACUCCGGCUGUUUUUUUAUAGCUGAUGAUAGGUGAUCGCAGCGCCGGCAAGGACCUUGGCCGCUGUCAGUAUGGCUUUUUCGUUGAUAUCAAAUUUCGGAUGGUGGUGGGAAUAAACUCGGUCUGGCUGUUCGGGAGCGGCGCCUGUAAAGAAAAAAGUGCCCUUCACGUUUUGUAAGUAAUAAGCAAAAUCCUCGCCGCCCAUUUGUGGUUCACCGUCAAUGACCUGCUGAACGCCCUCGGUAUUCUUUGCGGUGCUCACCAAGUGGUUCGUUUCUGCAGGAUGGUUCACAACCGCUGGAUAACCCUGUUCAUAGGUGUACUCAUAGGACGCGCCGUGCAUGCUGCAUAUUCCUUUUACAACCGCUUCAAUUUCUUUCUCCAGAAUGUCCCGGACAUUUUCAUCAAAAGAACGCGCUGUGCCGAUGAGUACUGCUUGGUCUGCGAUGACAUUAAACGGAUUGUCGGCGAUGAAGGAGCCUGUCGAAAUGACGGCGGAUUGAAUCGGAUUGACUUUGCGGCUGACAAUGUGCUGCAAAGAGGAAACGAUUUGCGAACCGAUCAGGACGGCGUCUUUUGUAUCAUGCGGAUGAGCGCCGUGGCCGCCCUUUCCGAAGACUUUAAUCGUAAAUCGGUCCGCCGCCGCCAUGACGGCGCCGGGGCGGCAAAGAAUAGUUCCGAGCGGCUCAGUUGCCCAAAGAUGAGUGCCGAAUAUCACAUCCGCGUUUUCGAGACAGCCGUCAUCAAUCAUUGGCUUUGCGCCUCCCGGAUAAUAUUCUUCUGCAUGCUGGUGGAUCAUCACAAAUGUUCCCUUCAGUUCAUGUCUGUUUUGGUGAAGGACCUUGGCCACUGCGAGAAGAGCUGCGGUGUGGCCGUCGUGGCCGCAUGCAUGCAUGACACCAGGCACUUUGGAGGCGUAAGGGACAUCUUUUUCAUCUUGAAUGGGGAGAGCGUCAAAGUCGGCCCUCAAAGCGACUGUAGGGCCGGUUUCGCUUCCUUCUAUAUAUGCUAAAACCCCUCUGCCGCCAACGUUUGUGCGGAUUGGGACUCCUAACGAUUCAUAAUAGGAAGCAAUAAAUGCGGCGGUUUUUUCUUCUUGAAAUGAGAGCUCAGGAUACAUAUGAAAAUGGCGCCUGAUCUCAACCAUUUCUUCAAAACAGCCGUCGAGCUGUUUGUUUAUCUCUUUCUGCAGUGUGGAUAUGGACAAAGCGGCUUCCCCUUUUCUAUGCUUUUCCAUGAUUGUAUAGAAAAAGUCUGAAUAUUUCAACUCAUGCUGUUUUAAAGCAUCAUCACAGCUGCGAGGGUUGUCACCAAAAGGCCAAUCGCGACGGGAAUGAAGUUUUUUCUGGCAAGCUCAAAAGGAUCAACUUUGCAAAUGGCCGCGGCGGGAAUCAACGCCCAUGGGACCAGUGUUCCUCCGCCCACCCAGAUGGCAGAGAUUUGUCCGAGCGCGGUCAGAACGGCGGGAU